GAUGUAGGAUGCAAGCGUUGUCCGGAUUUAUUGGGCGUAAAGAGUUCGUAGGCUGUUUGUUAAGUCUGAUGUUAAAGACUGGGGCUCAACCUCGGAAAUGCAUUGGAUACUGGCAGACUGGAGUGCAGUAGAGGCUAGUGGAAUUCCCAGUGUAGCGGUGAAAUGCGUAGAUAUUGGGAAGAACACCGGUGGCGUAGGCGACUAGCUGGGCUGUAACUGACGCUGAGGAACGAAAGCCAGGGGAGCGAAUGGG
rnacentral:rRNA from 1 species